rnacentral:tRNA from 1 species
GGGCGGCUAGCUCAGCGGUUAGAGCUCCUGCUUUACACGCAGGAGGUCAUAGGUUCGAAUCCUAUGCCGCCCACCA